GGUGGUCUAGAUUUUUUUCCCUCUGGUUGCACAUUUAACAUGCGGAUAGAAAUGAGGUACAACUGAUUUAAGUUUCCCUGCAUUAAAGUCCCCGGCCACUAGAAGCGCAGCCUCUGGAUGAGCUUUUCCUCUUUGCUUUUUGGCGGAAUACAGCUAAUUGAGUGCGGUUUGAGUGCCAGCUUAGGUCUGUAGAUAGCUACGAAAAAUACAGAUGAAAUCUCUCGAGGUAGAUAGUGUAGUCUACAGCUUAUCAUGAGAUACUCUACCUCAGGCGAGCAAAACCCUGAGACUUCCUUAGAUAUCGUGCACCAGCUAUUGUUUACAAAUAUGCACAGGCCCCCGCCCAUGUCUUACCAGAGGCUGCGAUUCUGUCCUGCCAAUAGAGUGUAUAAUCUGCCAGCAGUAUGUUCUUAAUGUCGGCGUUCAGCCACGACUCUGUGAAACAUAAGAUAUUACAGUUUUUAAUGUCCUGUUGGUAUGAUAUAUGUGCUUUCAGUUGAUCUAAUUUAUUUUCCAGCGAUUGAACGUUAGCUAGCUAGCAGAAUGGAAGGCAAGGGCAGAUUAGCCACUCGUCGCCUGAUCCUCACAAGGCAUCCUGAUCUCUUUCCGCGAAACCUACGUUUCCUUUUCCAGCGAAUCACGGGGAUCUGGGCCUGGUCGGGUGUGCGUUGUAUAUCCCUCGCGUCCGACUCAUUGAAGAAAAACUCCUCGUCCAAUUUUAGGUGAGUAAUCCCAGUUUUGAUGUCGAGAAGCUCUUUUCGGUCAUAGGAGAAGGUAGCAGCAGCUUUAUGUACAAAACAAGUAAAGAACACCGCAUUAAAAAAAUAGCAUGGUUGUUUAAGAGCCGAUAAGACGGCAGCCCUCCGUCGCCAUCUUCAUUAGCUGCCUUGGUAGCAGCUAAUGGGGGUCCAUAAAAAAUACAAAUACACAAUAAAUUGUAUUUGACUGAUAUUGUUUUUCAUUCGUUCUAUUCAUGUGUUCCAUUUCUAUGUCAGUCCUGGUGAUUCUGUAAGUGUAACACACCAUAAGUUAAUUGAACAUGGUCCCAGCCCUCCUUUUACCACAGUGGAACCACAGCCUGUGGGACAUGCUCCAUCUUGCCCUUACAAUAAAUCUCUAACCAUUUAGGUCAACAAGUCCAACAGACCAUCCAGAUCUGCGGUUUCUGGAGGGAAUCCAGGAAAUAACCAUCUAAUCAUUUGUUGUGUAACACCAUAUAUAUUGCGAAAUAGGACGAACUGAAAGUGUCUCUGAAAGUAAUAUAUGGAAAUAUGUUCCAUUUCAGUAAUGCAAUAUGAAUACAAAGAGGGAACUGUAGAUUAUAAAGAGACAAAUAAAAUGUUCACACUAGUGUGAAUCUAAUGAACCUAAACAUUCAGUUUCGUUUUGCUUCAGUUGUCAUAUUCUUUUGCCACCUGUGUGUUCACUAAUCAAGGUUAAUGCAGCUUAGCUCCACACUGGAUCUAUAGACAUAAUUUAUGAACAUUUUGGAAAUGCAGUGAGAAAUUAAAACAACAACACAGUUGGACAUAUUAUUGUUCUGACAUGAACAUUGCUACACCUCACCGAACACAUCAAACAUGGAUGUCCUUGUAAGACCAGCCGAGUAUAGUGCAGUUUAUGCUCUUUUGGGUCAGACUUCCACACAGGACAGUGGGAUUGAUCAGUGUAGUUCUCAGCUGUGCUGUGGGAAGACAUGGCUGACAUUUUAAACAACGGAACAUCACAUCAUGGGCUUCUGGUAGACAUGUGUUGAACAUCACAUCAUGGGUUUCUGGUAGACAGGUGUUGAACAUCACAUCAUGGGUUUCUGGUAGACAGGUGUUGAACAUCACAUCAUGGGCUUCUGGUAGACAUGUGUUGAACAUCACAUCAUGGGUUUCUGGUAGACAGGUGUUGAACAUCACAUCAUGGGUUUCUGGUAGACAGGUGUUGAACAUCACAUCAUGGGUUUCUGGUAGACAGGUGUUGAACAUCACAUCAUGGGCUUCUGGUAGACAGGUGUUGAACAUCACAUCAGGGGCUUCUGGUAGACAGGUGUUGAACAUCACAUCAUGGGCUUCUGGUAGACAGGUGUUGAACAUCACAUCAUGGGCUUCUGGUAGACAGGUGUUGAACAUCACAUCAUGGGCUUCUGGUAGACAGGUGUUGAACAUCACAUCAUGGGCUUCUGGUAGACAGGUGUUGAACAUCACAUCAUGGGCUUCUGGUAGACAGGUGUUGAACAUCACAUCAUGGGCUUCUGGUAGACAGGUGUUGAACAUCACAUCAUGGGCUUCUGGUAGACAGGUGUUGGACAUCAAUCAUAUCAGGGGCUUCUGGUAGACAGGUGUUGAACAUCAUAUCAUGGGCUUCUGGUAGACAGGUGUUGAACAUCACAUCAUGGGCUUCUGGUAGACAGGUGUUGAACAUCACAUCAUGGGCUUCUGGUAGACAGGUGUUGAACAUCACAUAAUGGGCUUCUGGUAGACAGGUGUUGAACAUCACAUCAUGGGCUUCUGGUAGACAGGUGUUGGACAUCACAUCAUGGGCUUCUGGUAGACAGGUGUUGAACAUCACAUCAGGGGCUUCUGGUAGACAGGUGUUGAACAGCUCAUCAUGGGCUUCUGGUAGACAGGUGUUGGA